rnacentral:rRNA from 1 species
AUGCCGCGUGCAGGAAGACGGCCCUAUGGGUUGUAAACUGCUUUUAUAUAGGAAGAAACCUUUUCACGUGUGAGAAGCUGACGGUACUAUAAGAAUAAGGACCGGCUAACUCCGUGCCAGCAGCCGCGGUAAUACGGAGGGUCCGAGCGUUAUCCGGAAUCAUUGGGUUUAAAGGGUCCGUAGGCGGGAAUCUAAGUCAGUGGUGAAAUCUUGCAGCUCAACUGUAAAAUUGCCAUUGAUACUGGAUUUCUUGAAUUAGUGUGAAGUGGUUAGAAUGUGUAGUGUAGCGGUGAAAUGCAUAGAUAUUACACAGAAUACCAAUUGCGAAGGCAGAUCACUAACACUAUAUUGACGCUGAGGGACGAAAGCGUGGGGAGCGAACAGGAUUAGAUACCCUGGUAGUCCACGCCGUAAACGAUGGAUACUAGCUGUUCGAUCUUCGGAUUGAGUGGCUAAGCGAAAGUGAUAAGUAUCCCACCUGGGGAGUACGUUCGCAAGAAUGAAACUCAAAGGAAUUGACGGGGGCCCGCACAAGCGGUGGGGCAUGUGGUUUAAUUCGAUGAUACGCGAGGAACCUUACCAGGGCUUAAAUGUAGUCUGACAGCUUUAGAGAUAGAGUUUUCUUCGGACAGAUUACAAGGUGCUGCAUGGUUGUCGUCAGCUCGUGCCGUGAGGUGUCAGGUUAAGUCCUAUAACGAGCGCAACCCCUGUUGUUAGUUGCCAGCGAGUAAUGUCGGGAACUCUAACAAGACUGCCGGUGCAAACCGUGAGGAAGGUGGGGAUGACGUCAAAUCAUCACGGCCCUUACGUCCUGGGCCACACACGUGCUACAAUGGCCGGUACAGAGAGCAGCCACUACGCGAGUAGGAGCGAAUCUUCAAAACCGGUCUCAGUUCGGAUCGGAGUCUGCAACUCGACUCCGUGAAAGC